rnacentral:lncRNA from 1 species
GAGAAGAGUAAUGUCUUCCACGUACUUUUCCAUAUCUCAAAGGAGAUUCUAUUACAGUUCCAGAAUAUCACAAGUUCAUAAUUGCGAGGGAAAAACAUAUUUGCAAAAUGCCAACAUUUCUAGUUCAUUACCCAAUAUCAAACACCACCCACAACAUGUCUACGGAACUUUUAAGUACAACAAAAGAGUAGUAUAUAAGUGUCGGCAACAAGGCCCCAGUUAUACAACGUCAAGUGACAUAAGGCGCCGAACAUAGUAGGGCUCACAAAAACUUGAUGAACUGUAUGUAGCUACUAACGAGGAUCAAAGUCUCCCACAGAUGAACUACCUGCAUGCAUUAAAGAUGCAGCACCCCCAGCAAAAGGGACGUUAGUAUAUAUAGAGUAGUACUAGUAUGUAAAGCUAAAAGUACUCCCAUAAAAUAGAAUAUCAAUAUAACAAGAUAAUAAUCAUAAAAACAACAAGUAACAACCAAUGAUAUCCAAAUUCCAAGUUAAAACAUAACAAAUUUUCUAAAUAGGAAGGUAACAAUUUUAGUUGGGAGGUCAAAGAGAGUUAAAUAAGACACAUCAAGAAGCUAUGAAACAAACCAUACGAUUGUACGAAAGUGAUCCACACAAGCCAUGAUAUUAGGUACAACCAGUAUAAUAAAAUGUACACUAUGUACCAACAAGGACAAUGAAAAUGGCAUAUAUUAUGUGUGUUGGCUAUGCGUCUCACUAGAUCAUACACAACCCUUUCUUACAAUACACCUAUGCGUUUCACAGACCCUCCAUAGGGCUUACCUAUGCAAUUCUCCUAUGCAUUUAAAGACUGUCCAUAAGGCUCAUUCAUACCAUACACAUAUGCGUUUCAUAGACCGUCCAUAGGGUUUAUUUAUACCAUACACAUAUGCGUUUCAUAGACCGUCCAUAGGGUUCAUUCAUACCAUAUACCUAUGCAUUUUAUAGACCGUCCAUAGGGCUCAUCCAUACCAUAUACCUAUGCAUUUCAUAGAUCGUCCAGAGUGUUUGUAACACAUUAUUAUGCACAUGAUCAUUUGUAAGCUCAAGCGACAUAAGAAACCUUACAUUUAGUGUCAUAAGUUCCCGGAUCAUUAGAAUACUUCAUGUCUAAGCUCUCUCAUAUGGAAACAUAACUUAAUACAAGAAAAUGUAUGGAGAAUCAAUAAGUAGAUUCCAAUGGCGCAUAGACCCAAAUUCUUUUCUUUCAGGGUCAUCAUCAUCAACAUCAUCAUGUAGAAUAUUCUGGAAAUCAUAAUUCUAAAUUCAUUAGUAAUGAAGGCUUAAACACAAUGGAUUUCUUUCCACAUAAACGGAGCAAGGUAAUCGAAGCACAAGUUAAAAUCAUAAACGAGUGAUACACCGUUUAUAGAUUUACAGUACUUUCAACCAUUCACAACAUCAUUAUUUCAUUGGCUAUCUCGGCCACACAUAUGAUUCUUCAUUCAUGGCAUGAUGAUCGUAUCUCAUAUUCCAUACUUUCAUUUUAUUUUGUUGGCAUUAUUGACCAUGAGUAUAACUUUUAUUCUUGGCACGAUGGCUACACUUUAUAUCCCCAACUAACUUCUUCCACUUUUAAGUAUCUUUAUAGAUUAUCAACUGUAAGAACAUUUGAAAUCAAGGCCUUAUAUAUAUAUAUAAUUGUAAGCACGAAAUAAGUAACAAGGAACUAAGUGUGGGGUGACUUUUGAGUGGAACCAAUAAAAGAAAGAAAGGUGCACUUGUUUUGUAAAAUAAUACACCACUAGCGAAAAUUGAAAAAAAAUAGUUGGAAAAAAUAGAGAAAAAAGGGGGAAAAUAGAGAUGAAUAAAUUCUUGUCUUGUUCUUGUCGGUGGGUAUGAAUUAAAGUAGUGCUUAAAGAAGAAGAGAAUUUUAUUUGGGGUAAUAUUAUUUGUGAAAGUGUUGGAUUGAAGAAUUUGAGCUUAAAGUUGAUUAUGUGACGUGUGAAAUUACUUAGGAGGGUUAGUCACUAUUCAUAUAUAUAUAUCAUGUAUGUCUCUUAGCCCACAUUACAACCAUAAAAUAGUCCUAAUUGGUUUUAGAUCGAGCGAACCUACACUAGUAGAUGUUUACAUUAUGAGCAAGCCUAUGGUACACAGUGCAUGCAAGUGAUUUCUUUUGUGAGAGUGAGAGAUUUUCUUUGAUAUAUAUAUAUAUAUAUAUAUAUAUAUAUGAGUCUUAGGUGCAUUGAGUUUUUUUUUUCUAGUUAAGCAUAGUAGACUUUCAUUGAAAUAUGAAUUGAAGUAAUAACCUUUUUAACACAUAAACCAUACUUUGACACGUUCUCGAAGGGACCAUAAUAAGAUAUGAGCAAUUGAUACACAUAUUGAACAUAUAUCUUUCGGCAAAAAGCUUAUUCAGAAUAGUCAAAUUUAUAUGGAAUAAUUCAGAAAAUGAGAAUUAGGAACCUGGGCCAACCAUACUUGAAACUUACUAGAACAUCAUGGAAUUUGAUUCCAAAAAAGAAGUUUAGCCAACAUAGCUUGUUUGAGCUUCCCUUGGGUUAAUACAACGUCCCAAUACUCUUAGCUGAUCCCAUAUAUAGGAAGAUAGGGAAAAUCGAAUAUUAAUUGGAAAGAUUCUCAUGAUAUAACUCUCUUGGGAAUUUUGUCAAACACCUAUUAUGCAAAAUCAACUAAAAAGCUCUACAAUGAUAAUCCCGUCCUCCCUAAACCAAUUUCAACAAGAAACUAUCAAAUUGUUUAACAACUCCAUAUACUACCUCAUAUUGGCACAUGCAUGGCCUAUAUCCAACCCACAACAUACUUAAACACACAAUCUCUUGUAUAAAAACUUAGGAGAAAGACUUACCCGGAUAGAUGAUGAUCUUGUGAGUGAAUUCCAUAAUUCUUGAAGAAUGGCAAGAUUGGAUGACUAGAAUUGUAAGUCUUAUCCCCCGUCCUUUUUCUAUCUCUCUCUCUCUAAGAUACUAUCACUUCUCUCUAAAAACAUCAGAUUUUUACCUUUAAAAUAAGCCACAGAGGCUUUUAAACAAAAUGGGUUCGGGUUAUAAAAAUAAGAAAUGGAUCCUCAGAACUCAACUUUACGGUCGCAGAGUAAAACGCAGAACAGAUAUUAUUACGAUCCAAAAUCCCUCCAAAGAAGUUGUGAUGGCACUUAGUAACUAAAACAAGGUAAGCCUAAAAUAUACAAAUCACUAAUGGAAUUUGAC